CAACAGAUAUUUCUCUGAUUGGAAUUACAGAUGGGUUUGCUUCUGUUAUAGAAGUGGGUUUUUUGCAGUACUAUUGAGGAAUGUGGCGAUAUAGGCUUCCCUUACUCAAAGGCAUGGGUUUUUGUUCAUUCCAAGGAUUUGGAUGUUUUGGUUUCCAUUAGCAGCUGAAAUCAAUCACCAGUUUGAGGUGUUACUCCUAAAAAGCUCAAGUGCGUUCAGAUCACUGGAGGCUUCUGAAAUGACAGCGGCUUCCCUUGGUUGGUUAUCAGUUCAUACAAGAAUUUCCGAGUUUAGCUUCAGAAAUACAAG